rnacentral:rRNA from 1 species
UACGGGAGGCAGCAGUGGGGAAUAUUGCACAAUGGGCGCAAGCCUGAUGCAGCCAUGCCGCGUGUAUGAAGAAGGCCUUCGGGUUGUAAAGUACUUUCAGUCGUGAGGAAGGUGUUAAGGUUAAUAACCUUAGCAAUUGACGUUAGCGACAGAAGAAGCACCGGCUAACUCCGUGCCAGCAGCCGCGGUAAUACGGAGGGUGCGAGCGUUAAUCGGAAUUACUGGGCGUAAAGGGCACGCAGGCGGUUAAUUAAGUUGGAUGUGAAAUCCCCGGGCUUAACCUGGGAAUGGCAUUCAAGACUGGUUAGCUAGAGUCUUGUAGAGGGGGUAGAAUUCCAUGUGUAGCGGUGAAAUGCGUAGAGAUGUGGAGGAAUACCGGUGGCGAAGGCGGCCCCCUGGACAAAGGACUGACGCUCAUGUGCGAAAGCGUGGGGAGCAAACGAGGGAUUAGAUACC